GGGCUCACUUCAGCAGCACAUAUACUGAGAUUGGAAUGAUCCAGAGAAGAUUAGUAUGGCUCCUGCACCGGGGUGGCUCGGACAGUUGUGACAUGUUCCAUACUUUU